AUUGAACGCUGGCGGCAUGCCUUACACAUGCAAGUCGAACGGCAGCACGGGAGCAAUCCUGGUGGCGAGUGGCGAACGGGUGAGUAAUAUAUCGGAACGUGCCCAGUCGUGGGGAUAACGUAGCGAAAGCUACGCUAAUACCGCAUACGAUCUAUGGAUGAAAGCGGGGGAUCGCAAGACCUCGCGCGAUUGGAGCGGCCGAUAUCAGAUUAGGUAGUUGGUGAGGUAAAGGCUCGCCAAGCCGACGAUCUGUAGCUGGUCUGAGAGGACGACCAGCCACACUGGGACUGAGACACGGCCCAGACUCCUACGGAGGCAGCAGUGGGAAUUUUGGACAAUGGGCGGCAAAGCCUGAUCCAGCAAUGCCGCGUGCAGGAUGAA
rnacentral:rRNA from 1 species